GACGAACGCUGGCGGCGUGCCUAAUACAUGCAAGUGGGACGCAAGGAAACACACUGUGCUUGCACACCGUGUUUUCUUGAGUCGCGAACGGGUGAGUAACGCGUAGGUAACCUGCCUAUUAGCGGGGGAUAACUAUUGGAAACGAUAGCUAAUACCGCAUAAUAUUAAUUAUUGCAUGAUAAUUGAUUGAAAGAUGCAAGCGCAUCACUAGUAGAUGGACCUGCGUUGUAUUAGCUAGUUGGUAAGGUAAGAGCUUACCAAGGCGACGAUACAUAGCCGACCUGAGAGGGUGAUCGGCCACACUGGGACUGAGACACGGCCCAGACUCCUACGGGAGGCAGCAGUAGGGAAUCUUCGGCAAUGGACGAAAGUCUGACCGAGCAACGCCGCGUGAGUGAAGAAGGUUUUCGGAUCGUAAAGCACUGUUGUAAGUCAAGAACGUGUGUGAGAGUGGAAAGUUACACAGUGACGGUAGCUACCAGAAAGGG
rnacentral:rRNA from 1 species